UGGGGAAUAUUGCACAAUGGGGGAAACCCUGAUGCAGCGACGCCGCGUGAGCGAAGAAGGCCUUCGGGUCGUAAAGCUCUUUUAUAUGGGAAGAUAAUGACGGUACCAUAAGAAAAAGCCCCGGCUAACUACGUGCCAGCAGCCGCGGUAAUACGUAGGGGGCUAGCGUUGUCCGGAAUCACUGGGCGUAAAGGGUUCGCAGGCGGAAAUGCAAGUCAGGUUUAAAAGGCAGUAGCUUAACUACUGUAAGCAUUUGAAACUGCCUAUCUUGGGAAGAGUAGAGGUAAGUGGAAUUUUUAGUGUAGCGGUGAAAUGCGUAGAUAUUAAAAAGAAUACCGGUGGCGAAGGCGACUUACUGGGCUCAUUCUGACGCUGAGGAACUAAAGCGUGGGUAGCAAACAGG
rnacentral:rRNA from 1 species